GUUUACAGAGUCGCUUUCUUUGAUUAUCUCCAUCUCGGUGACAGAUAAUCAGAAAGAACAGACUCGGUGAAGAACCUUGUCGAAAGUGGAUCAUUUUGCUUUUAAAGCAAUGGAGGAGUACAAUUCCGGAGAGGAGGUGUCCUUCAACGCAGAUGAGGCCAGUGUCUCAGUUAAAGAGUGUAUUGAAGCCAUCAUUGGAGGACUAGAUUACAACCAGAACAAAGUGAACCAGUGGACUGCCAGCAUCGUGGAGCACUCUCUCACCCAACUGGUCAAGCAAGGGAGACCAUUCAAGUUCAUAGUGAACUGUGCCAUCAUGCAGAAGAGUGGUGCUGGUCUCCACACGGCCAACUCCUGCUACUGGGACACUGCUACUGAUGAGACCACCGCAGAACAUCAUUGUGUGCAGCGCUGUCCGUGUUGCUGAAGCUGCAACAUGAUUAGACAUUUGACUGAAAAGUGAUGUUGACGAAAUCCCUGGAAGCUGCACGGUCAGGUGGGAGAACCGCACCAUGUACUGUGUGGUGAGUGUUUUCGCCGUGGCCUUGACCUGUUAACGUGCCCCCCCCCCUCUCGCACUGAGCUGAACACAACCUGGCAUGCACCAGCACCACCAAGCCUCGAAGAUCCAAGCUGAUUACCCAUGCAAAUAAAUGUCUGUUGUACAACAUCUUUCAACCCCACACUCUCUAACUUUGACCACUCCCAAUGGGAACCAUAGGAUGGGAAAUUGUGACGUUGCUAUAAGUGGUGGAUACAUAGUGUUGUCUGUGUGUAAAUGUAAAUAGACCAGUAGUUCUAGAGAUAUGCUCAGCAUGGACUUAGAGAAUGGAACUAACCACACUGGACAUGUGGAAUAUUAAUUACUAAAUUAAAUACAUCCCAUUUACAGUUUCAAUAGUGUGUCGUAGUUGAACCACUAUAAAAAAAUAAUAAUAAUUGGAGUCUCAAAGCAGAGGUCAGGUUUAAUACAUUCCUAACAGAGUGCAGAGAGAGACAUUGGAGGUUCCGUUGGAGCAUUGCAGGUUUAUGACGGUGUACUUUCUCUUUAAGAAUGUGUAUUAUAUUUAUUCUAAGAUCAUUCCCUCUGGAUUGUUGAAGUUGUAGCUCUCCUGCAUGUUGUAUCACAUUUACCUCACUAGCCCUUAUAUCAUUUGUGAUAUUAAAUGGACUGAAAAUGCUCAUGACACUACAAGUAUGACUUGUGACUGACCGUGUUUGUACAUUGACCUUUGUCAUGAAAUGUAUUAUUUAACUAUCGGCACAUGAUUUCCUGGUGUUUAAUUGAGUCUCACCAGUAAAACAGGUUGACAGAAUAGCUAAUGAGGUUUAGGAUGGGGUGAAUAAAGUGCAACUGCUGGUUUCUUACCUUCCACACAUUCCUGUAGAUAAGGGGGUUGUGGUAGUUGAGGUUAGUAGUUAUGGUAAUUCUCUUUUGUUGUUACAAAUUGUCUAUUUGCUGCAUUGUUGUUGUAAUACAUUCUAUGUACCUGAUGGGAUUUUAAAAUAAGGAAUUAGGAUGCUUACUAAUCACAGAUUUUUAAAACGAGCACUGCAAAUCUUCUUUAAGCCUUUAAUGUCUAAACAUAGACUCACCUCAUCUAUUAAAACUCACAUGACUAGCUUGUCCCAGAGUUUAUUCAUUUUUCAUUAAGGAAAAUGAUAAGCAUGAAAAGAGGCCAACACAUGAAUCUGUCUAUACAGGUCUGAUGAAGCAGGGCUAUCCUGAGUCUGUGUACAGGUCUGAUGAAGCAGGGCUAUCCUGAGUCUGUACAGGUCUGAUGAAGCAGGGCUAUCCUGAGUGUGCACAGGUCUGAUGAAGCAAGGCUAUCCUGAGUCUGUGUACAGGUCUGAUGAAGCAGGGCUAUCCUGAGUGUGCACAGGUCUGAUGAAGCAAGGCUAUCCUGAGUCUGUGUACAGGUCUGAUGAAACAAGGCUAUCCUGAGUCUGCCUGUACAGGUCUGAUGAAACAAGGCUAUCCCGAGUCUGUCUGUACAGGUCUGAUGAAACAAGGCUAUCCUGAGUCUGUGUACAGGUCUGAUGAAGCAAGGCUAUCCCGAGUCUGCCUGUACAGGUCUGGUGAAGCAAGGCUAUCCUGAGCUUGAUGAUGAGUCUGCCUCUACAGGUCUGAUGAAGCAAGGCUAUCCUGAGCCUGUGUACAGGUCUGAUGAAACAAGGCUAUCCUGAGCCUGUGUACAGGUCUGAUGAAACAAGGCUAUCCUGAGCCUGUGUACAGGUCUGAUGAAACAAGGCUAUCCUGAGCCUGUGUACAGGUCUGAUGAAACAAGGCUAUCCUGAGCCUGUGUACAGGUCUGAUGAAGCAAGGCUAUCCUGAGUCUGUGUACAGGUCUGAUGAAACAAGGCUAUCCCGAGUCUGUGUACAGGUCUGAUGAAACAAGGCUAUCCCGAGUCUGCCUGUACAGGUCUGAUGAAACAAGGCUAUCCUGAACCUGAUGAUGAGUCUGCCUGUACAGGUCUGAUGAAGCAAGGCUAUCCUGAACCUGAUGAUGAGUCUGCCUGUACAGGUCUGAUGAAACAAGGCUAUCCUGAGUCUGUGUACAGGUCUGAUGAAACAAGGCUAUCCUGAGUCUGUGUACAGGUCUGAUGAAGCAAGGCUAUCCCGAGUCUGCCUGUACAGGUCUGAUGAAGCAAGGCUAUCCUGAGCCUGAUGAUGAGUCUGCCUCUACAGGUCUGAUGAAGCAAGGCUAUCCUGAGCCUGUGUACAGGUCUGAUGAAGCAAGGCUAUCCCGACUCUGCCUGUACAUGUCUGAUGAAGCAAGGCUAUCCCGAGUCUGCCUGUACAGGUCUGAUGAAGCAAGGCUAUCCCGAGUCUGCCUCUACAGGUCUGAUGAAGCAAGGCUAUCCUGAGCCUGUGUACAGGUCUGAUGAAGCAAGGCUAUCCCGACUCUGCCUGUACAUGUCUGAUGAAGCAAGGCUAUCCUGAGCCUGAUGAUGAGUCUGCCUCUACAGGUCUGAUGAAGCAAGGCUAUCCUGAGCCUAAUGAUGAGUGAGGUUAUGGCUGGUGAAACACAGAUCAAUUACUUCAACGAUGGAGAGUCGUAGAAACUAGAGGAAUAUUCUUGGCUGGAUUCCAUUGUCAAAACUUGCUACCUCUCCUUGUUUUGGGGGGGUAUCAGUACAUUUGAUAUUUUUUGCAACUUUUACUUCACUAUAUUCCUAAAGAAAGUAAUUUACUUUUCACUCAUAUAUUUUCCCUGACACACAAAAGUACUUGAGCUUAGCAGGACAGGAAAAUGGUCCAAUUCACACACUUGUCAAGAGAACAUGCCUGGCCAUCCCUACUGCCUCUUAUCUACAGGACUUUCUAAACACACAUGCUUUGUUUGUGAACUAUGUCUGAGUGUUGGAAUGUGCCCCUGGCUAUCCAUAAAAGAAAUAAGAACAUUUUGCUUUCUGGUUUGCUUAAUAUGAACAAUUUGAAAUUAUUUAUACUUUUACUUUUGAUUCUUAAGUAUAUUUUUGCAAUUUCAUUUACUUUUGAUACUUAGUAUAUUGAAAACCAAAUACUUUUAGACUUUUAUUCAAUUAGUAUUUUACUGAUAAUUGGGUACUUUUUCCACCACUGUCAUCCUUUCUGUUCUUGAUGGAUGAGAUUUACACAGUCAGUCGUGUUUCUGUAUUGUUCCACUAGGGGUCAGUAUAAGUCAGUAUAUGGGGUCUGAUGAUGACAAAACAAUCACUCAAUAAGUCACAUAAAUAUAAAUGUACUUCACAUAUUGUUUGAAUUUCAUCUUUUAAUAAUCAUAUCCUCUCUGAAAUUGAUUCACAAUACUGUGUGUGUGUUCAUUAGAUUUUUAUAGAUAUCAAAAAUUCUGUUUGGCUUCAAAGAUUGUCUUUUUUAAUAAAAACUAUAUGAAGCAUU